rnacentral:misc_RNA from 1 species
GAUGAAGAACGUAGUGAAAUGCGAUACUUGGUGUGAAUUGCAGAAUCCCGUGAACCAUCGAGUCUUUGAACGCAAGUUGCGCCCGAAGCCAUUAGGCCGAGGGCACGCCUGCCUGGGCGUCACACGUCGUUGCCCCCCCAUCUACUCCUUCGGGAUUGCGGGGGGCGGAUGAUGGCCUCUCGUGCGCCUCGUCGCGCGGUUGGCCUAAAUGCCAAGUCCUCGGCGACGCACGCCACGACAAUCGGUGGUUGCGAAACCUCGGUUGCCUGUCGUGUGCGGUCGUCGCGCAUCGAGGGCUCGAAAAAAUUGCCGGGCUUCGGCUCGACUUUCAACGCGACCCCAGGUCAGGCGGGGCUACCCGCUGAAUUUAAGCAUAUCAAUAAGCGGAGGA